AUUGAACGCUGGCGGCAGGCCUAACACAUGCAAGUCGAGCGGAUGAAGGGAGCUUGCUCCUGGAUUCAGCGGCGGACGGGUGAGUAAUGCCUAGGAAUCUGCCUGGUAGUGGGGGAUAACGUCCGGAAACGGGCGCUAAUACCGCAUACGUCCUGAGGGAGAAAGUGGGGGAUCUUCGGACCUCACGCUAUCAGAUGAGCCUAGGUCGGAUUAGCUAGUUGGUGGGGUAAAGGCCUACCAAGGCGACGAUCCGUAACUGGUCUGAGAGGAUGAUCAGUCACACUGGAACUGAGACACGGUCCAGACUCCUACGGGAGGCAGCAGUGGGGAACAUUGGACAAUGGGCGAAAGCCUGAUCCAGCCAUGCCGCGUGUGUGAAGAAGGUCUUCGGAUUGUAAAGCACUUUAAGUUGGGAGGAAGGGCAGUAAGUUAAUACCUUGCCGUUUUGACGUUACCAACAGAAUAAGCACCGGCUAACUUCGUG
rnacentral:rRNA from 1 species